UGUAUAUGAGUAUUCAAUUGUACAUAUUAUAUUCGAGCAUGCUUAUGAAUACGAAUACGUCUAAGCGUAUGUUUGGUUACAUUCAGAGAUCAUGUGUAUGAAUAUUUGUAAAUGUGUACGAGAAUGUACAUAUAUAAUACAAAUAAUGUAUCUGAAUACAUUUAUAUUAAAUAAUAUAUGUACGUGAAUUUGAUUAUGUGUGUGAUCAUGAAUUGAUGUGUAUAUACUUCGUACAAAUGUGUAGGUUUAUGAAUAGUGGGACAUGAGUGAGUUUAUGUAUCGUAUAUAUGUAUAUGAAUGAAGGACUUGUAUAAGAAAAUGUCGCGGAAAAGUGAAAACUCCAACAAUUUCUAAGCAAAUAUUUAUACAACGUGAAUAAAGUAUGUCAGCUGAAAACGUGAAAAAAUUCCAACAAUCUCUUUUAUGUGUUCAGAUGGUACUCACAUAAUUGGAUAUACCAUGAAAAUAUUGUUUGUGCUAUACAGCAAAACAGUUAAAACGUCGAUUUUCAGUUUCAUUCAUAUUUUUAUGCUUAGGAGAACGCAUUGUGUAAACAAAGAUUUGUGAAGCUGUUGACGAGGAAAGUAUGCUCUAGAAAAUUAUGACUGAGCUACAACAUUGAAAUUUGGAAUACAGGUAUCAGAUCACUAGAAGAUUUGGAAAACUUGGCGGCUGAAGACUCGUCAACACGCGAACAACACUCUCCAAUAUUGUUUAAAAAAUUAUAUAUUGAAUUUAACCUAAAUAAAGAAAAAAAUCAAAUUUUUAUAUUCUAGUUAAAUUUUAUUUAAGAGAUUCUCAGUAUUAAGAUUCUCGUAUUUUUCACGCAAAUACAAUCAUUUGUAUUAAACUUUUGCGAAGUUGCAUAUACUAUUCAUUUAUUUUAUUUUAAGUAUAGUGCAACAAUAAACAAGAAAAAUUAUACUGUACUUAAAUCCUAGUUAAAUUUCAAUGUUGUUUUUAUAUAUGUUUAUUUAUAUUAGUCUGUAAGCAUAUAUGUAUCUAUUGAGUCAUAAAAAAAAACAAGUUUUACUACUUAUAUAUAUUUAUAUAUAGUACUACCUAUAAUAUGCAAUUUAAAAUAAUAAAUACGGUAUUCUUAAUUACUAUAAAUGUCGAUAUUGAUUGAAAGAAUUUAUUUAAACUACGUUCAGAUUAGCCAGUUAUUUG